GAGGAUAUUUUACAUUAAAAAUUUAUAUUAUCUUCCCGAAAGAAGAAGAGCUAAAUUAAAGGUCGAGUUUUUGUGGUAAAAAAAUUCAAAACCUUAUUUUAGUAGUGAAAUGUUAAUCGAGUCUUAAGAUAUCUGGUUUUUUUUUUUUGAAAAAAAUUCAAUUUUUUCUUUGCAUUAAGGUAAGGCAAGGCUUAGGAACAGAGGGGGCUAGCUCUUUGUUUAAUUAUUUUAGUUAUAAAAAUAAAUAGAAAGGUAUGUUUAA